rnacentral:tRNA from 1 species
GUCUUCGAGUGGAUUGGGGCGAAGAGAUCGGAACCUCAUUCGCAAUGCGAAGGUCGGGAGUUCGAUCCUCCUCCGCGCCA